rnacentral:rRNA from 1 species
AAUGAACGUUGGCGGCAUGGAUUAGGCAUGCAAGUCGAGCGAGAAGGAUAUCAAAGUUUACUUUGAUAUCCGGAAAGCGGCGCAAGGGAGAGUAACGCGUAGUUAUCUACCCCAAGGCCCGGAAUAGCUGCGGGAAACUGCAGGUAAUGCCGGAUAAUAUCCCCGGAUCAAAGGUGUGAUUCCGCCUUGGGAGGAGACUGCGUUGUACUAGCUUGUUGGUAGGGUAAUGGCCUACCAAGGCUACGAUGCAUAGCGGGCGUGAGAGCGUGGCCCGUCUCACUGGGACUGAAACACUGCCCAGACACCUACGGGUGGCUGCAGUCGAGAAUCUUCGGCAAUGGGCGAAAGCCUGACCGAGCAAUGCCGCGUGCGGGAUGAAGGCCCUCGGGUUGUAAACCGCUGUCGUAGGGGAGAAAGGUCUCAUGAAGAAUGAGAUUUGAUCUAUCCUAGGAGGAAGUCCGGGCUAAGUUCGUGCCAGCCGCCGCCGUAAU